UUAUGUUUAUCCGUGCUAGUGCUAUACUUGUACUGUUGUGUUGUAGAGUUUUUUGGUGAUGUUUGUUGUUUCGGUUAGAUCGAUUGUAGUAUCACUUUGUGAUAAUCGUGUUUCUGUUAUUAUUUGUUGUAUUUAUACCUGUUGUUUCUUGUGCCUAUACUAUGUCUUGUGGACUGUUUUUCGUCUUGAGCGGGGGGUCUAUCAAAACACAACCUCUCUAUCUCACCUCUGAGGUAGUGUUAUGGACUGGUAUCUUGUUGUUGGCAUACCAAUUUGCAGGCAUACAAUUAGUUGUGGCGACCAAAUUUGAUAGAAUGAACUUUGAAUUUUGUUUCAGAAUCCUUUUCUUGUUGCCGGUGUUGCAGUUUAGCUACCUCUUGUUAAGCCUGUAGUCUGGGUUUCGUUUACAGUAAGGGGUCUUGGCGGG
rnacentral:lncRNA from 1 species